CCUACGGGAGGCUGCAGUGGGGAAUAUUGGACAAUGGGGGCAACCCUGAUCCAGCCAUGCCGCGUGUGUGAAGAAGUCCCUCGGGUUGUAAAGCACUUUCAGUGAGGAAGAACGCCUGGUGGUUAAUACCCAUCAGGAAAGACAUCACUCACAGAAGAAGCACCGGCUAACUCCGUGCCAGCAGCCGCGGUAAUACGGAGGGUGCGAGCGUUAAUCGGAAUUACUGGGCGUAAAGCGCGCGUAGGUGGCUUGAUAAGCCGGUUGUGAAAGCCCCGGGCUCAACCUGGGAACGGCAUCCGGAACUGUCAAGCUAGAGUGCAGGAGAGGAAGGUAGAAUUCCCGGUGUAGCGGUGAAAUGCGUAGAGAUCGGGAGGAAUACCAGUGGCGAAGGCGGCCUUCUGGACUGACACUGACACUGAGGUGCGAAAGCGUGGGUAGCAAACAGGAUUAGAUACCCCAGUAGUC
rnacentral:rRNA from 1 species